CGAUGAGUAGGGCGGGACACGUGGUAUCCUGUCUGAAUAUGGGGGGACCAUCCUCCAAGGCUAAAUACUCCUGACUGACCGAUAGUGAACCAGUACCGUGAGGGAAAGGCGAAAAGAACCCCGGCGAGGGGAGUGAAAAAGAACCUGAAACCGUGUACGUACAAGCAGUGGGAGCACGCUUAGGCGUGUGACUGCGUACCUUUUGUAUAAUGGGUCAGCGACUUAUAUUCUGUAGCAAGGUUAACCGAAUAGGGGAGCCGAAGGGAAACCGAGUCUUAACUGGGCGUUAAGUUGCAGGGUAUAGACCCGAAACCCGGUGAUCUAGCCAUGGGCAGGUUGAAGGUUGGGUAACACUAACUGGAGGACCGAACCGACUAAUGUUGAAAAAUUAGCGGAUGACUUGUGGCUGGGGGUGAAAGGCCAAUCAAACCGGGAGAUAGCUGGUUCUCCCCGAAAGCUAUUUAGGUAGCGCCUCGUGAAUUCAUCUCCGGGGGUAGAGCACUGUUUCGGCA
rnacentral:rRNA from 1 species